UGAGGAAUAUUGGUCAAUGGGCGAGAGCCUGAACCAGCCAAGUCGCGUGAAGGAAGACUGCCUUAUGGGUUGUAAACUUCUUUUAUACAGGAAUAAAAAGGCUUACGUGUAGGCCAUUGCAAGUACUGUAUGAAUAAGCAUCGGCUAACUCCGUGCCAGCAGCCGCGGUAAUACGGAGGAUGCGAGCGUUAUCCGGAUUUAUUGGGUUUAAAGGGUGCGCAGGCGGGCUUUUAAGUCAGCGGUGAAAUCUGGACGCUUAACGUCCAAACUGCCGUUGAAACUGGGAGUCUUGAGUAUGGAUGAAGUAGGCGGAAUUCGUUGUGUAGCGGUGACAUGCAUAGAUAUAACGAGGAACUCCGAUUGCGUAGGCAGCUUACUAAGCCAUAACUGACGCUCAUGCACGAAAGCGUGGGGAUCAAACAGGAUUAGAUACCCUGGUAGUCCACGCCGUAAAACGAUGAUUACUAGUUGUAUGCGAUAUGAUAGUAUGUGACUAAGCGAAAGCGAUAAGUAAUCCACCUGGGGAGUACGCC
rnacentral:rRNA from 1 species